AGAGUUUGAUCCUGGCUCAGGACGAACGCUGGCGGCGUGCCUAAUACAUGCAAGUCGAGCGGACAGAUGGGAGCUUGCUCCCUGAUGUUAGCGGCGGACGGGUGAGUAACACGUGGGUAACCUGCCUGUAAGACUGGGAUAACUCCGGGAAACCGGGGCUAAUACCGGAUGGUUGUUUGAACCGCAUGGUUCAAACAUAAAAGGUGGCUUCGGCUACCACUUGCAGAUGGACCCGCGGCGCAUUAGCUAGUUGGUGAGGUAAUGGCUCACCAAGGCAACGAUGCGUAGCCGACCUGAGAGGGUGAUCGGCCACACUGGGACUGAGACACGGCCCAGACUCCUACGGGAGGCAGCAGUAGGGAAUCUUCCGCAAUGGACGAAAGUCUGACGGAGCAACGCCGCGUGAGUGAUGAAGGUUUUCGGAUCGUAAAGCUCUGUUGUUAGGGAAGAACAAGUGCCGUUCGAAUAGGGCGGUACCUUGACGGUACCUAACCAGAAAGCCACGGCUAACUACGUGCCAGCAGCCGCGGUAAUACGUAGGUGGCAAGCGUUGUCCGGAAUUAUUGGGCGUAAAGGGCUCGCAGGCGGUUUCUUAAGUCUGAUGUGAAAGCCCCCGGCUCAACCGGGGAGGGUCAUUGGAAACUGGGGAACUUGAGUGCAGAAGAGGAGAGUGGAAUUCCACGUGUAGCGGUGAAAUGCGUAGAGAUGUGGAGGAACACCAGUGGCGAAGGCGACUCUCUGGUCUGUAACUGACGCUGAGGAGCGAAAGCGUGGGGAGCGAACAGGAUUAGAUACCCUGGUAGUCCACGCCGUAAACGAUGAGUGCUAAGUGUUAGGGGGUUUCCGCCCCUUAGUGCUGCAGCUAACGCAUUAAGCACUCCGCCUGGGGAGUACGGUCGCAAGACUGAAACUCAAAGGAAUUGACGGGGGCCCGCACAAGCGGUGGAGCAUGUGGUUUAAUUCGAAGCAACGCGAAGAACCUUACCAGGUCUUGACAUCCUCUGACAAUCCUAGAGAUAGGACGUCCCCUUCGGGGGCAGAGUGACAGGUGGUGCAUGGUUGUCGUCAGCUCGUGUCGUGAGAUGUUGGGUUAAGUCCCGCAACGAGCGCAACCCUUGAUCUUAGUUGCCAGCAUUCAGUUGGGCACUCUAAGGUGACUGCCGGUGACAAACCGGAGGAAGGUGGGGAUGACGUCAAAUCAUCAUGCCCCUUAUGACCUGGGCUACACACGUGCUACAAUGGACAGAACAAAGGGCAGCGAAACCGCGAGGUUAAGCCAAUCCCACAAAUCUGUUCUCAGUUCGGAUCGCAGUCUGCAACUCGACUGCGUGAAGCUGGAAUCGCUAGUAAUCGCGGAUCAGCACGCCGCGGUGAAUACGUUCCCGGGCCUUGUACACACCGCCCGUCACACCACGAGAGUUUGUAACACCCGAAGUCGGUGAGGUAACCGUUUAGGAGCCAGCCGCCUAAGGUGGGACAGAUGAUUGGGGUGAAGUCGUAACAAGGUAGCCGUAUCGGAAGGUGCGGCUG
rnacentral:rRNA from 1 species